AAUCAACGCUGGCGGCGUGCCUAACACAUGCAAGUCGAGCGCGAAAGGGGAGCAAUCCCCAAGUAGAGCGGCGAACGGGUGAGUAACGCGUGGGUAAUCUGCCUCCGAGUGGGGAACAACACCGGGAAACUGGUGCUAAUACCGCAUGACAUCGUUGGACCUUCGGAUCUGACGAUCAAAGCCGGGGACCGCAAGGCCUGGCGCUGGAGAGGAGCCCGCGUCCGANAGUCUAGUUGGUGGGGUAAUGGCCCACCAAGGCUACGAUCGGUAGCCGGCCUGAGAGGGCGGACGGCCACACUGGGAC
rnacentral:rRNA from 1 species